GACGAACGCUGGCGGCGUGCUUAACACAUGCAAGUCGAACGGAAAGGCCCUGCUUUUGUGGGGUGCUCGAGUGGCGAACGGGUGAGUAACACGUGGGUAACCUGCCCUUGACUUUGGGAUAACUUCAGGAAACUGGGGCUAAUACCGGAUAGGAGCUCCUGCUGCAUGGUGGGGGUUGGAAAGUUUCGGCGGUUGGGGAUGGACUCGCGGCUUAUCAGCUUGUUGGUGGGGUAGUGGCUUACCAAGGCUUUGACGGGUAGCCGGCCUGAGAGGGUGACCGGCCACAUUGGGACUGAGAUACGGCCCAGACUCCUACGGGAGGCAGCAGUGGGGAAUAUUGCACAAUGGGCGGAAGCCUGAUGCAGCAACGCCGCGUGCGGGAUGACGGCCUUCGGGUUGUAAACCGCUUUCGCCUGUGACGAAGCGUGAGUGAUGGUAAUGGGUAAAGAAGCACCGGCUAACUACGUG
rnacentral:rRNA from 1 species